rnacentral:tRNA from 1 species
GUCCCAGUAGCUCAGUUGGAUAGAGCGUAGGUUUCCUAAACCUAAGGUCGGAGGUUCGAGCCCUCCUUGGGACGCCA